AGAACGAACGCUGGCGGCAUGCCUAAUACAUGCAAGUCGAACGAACUCUUCGGAGUUAGUGGCGCACGGGUGCGUAACGCGUGGGAAUCUGCCCUUGGGUUCGGAAUAACAGUUGGAAACGACUGCUAAUACCGGAUGAUGACGAAAGUCCAAAGAUUUAUCGCCCAGGGAUGAGCCCGCGUAGGAUUAGCUAGUUGGUGAGGUAAAGGCCACCAAGGCGACGAUCCUUAGCUGGUCUGAGAGGAUGAUCAGCCACACUGGGACUGGAGACACGGCCCAGACUCCUACGGGAGCAGCAGUAGGAAUAUAGGACAAUGGGACGUAAAGCCUGACUCCGAGCAAUGACCGUCGU
rnacentral:rRNA from 1 species